rnacentral:rRNA from 1 species
UACAGAGGGUGCGAGCGUUAAUCGGAAUUACUGGGCGUAAAGCGCACGUAGUCGGCUUGUCAAGUCGGGUGUGAAAAUCCCCCGGGCGUCAACCUGGGAACGUGCAUCCGAGACUGACUUGCUAGAGUAUGGGAGAGGGAAGCGGAAUUUCUGGUGUAGCAGUGAAAUGCGUAGAUAUCAGAAGGAACAUCAGUGGCGAAGGCGGCUUCCUGGACCAAUACUGACGAUCAGGUGCGAAAGCGUGGGGAGC